CACUUUCCCAGAUAAUCAACCGCACCCAUAGAGCAAUGUUAGUGGCAGCUAAAUGCAUGAAUCCGAAUCUGGCGGCCAAACCAAACCUUUCAACCAACACCUAAAGGUGUUCAAUGUUAUGGACGUCCACUGACACUAUAACCACGACAGAUGCAGCAUAACAAAAUAAUGUGGUAUCUACCAAAGUUCAAUACUAUCGGACACUGCGUUUUAAUGUUCAUCGGUCGACGGAAACUUUCACCAAAAAUCGCAGAUAAGCCAUCAGAAGCUGGUGUCCGAAGUCUUUGAACGUGAAAUAUGCGCACGUUUCAACGAACUGAAUUGUUUCAACGAGUUGAACCGGUUCAAAGUAAAGACACC